AUACGUAGGUGGCAAGCGUUGUCCGGAAUUAUUGGGCGUAAAGCGCGCGCAGGCGGUCCUUUAAGUCUGAUGUGAAAGCCCACGGCUCAACCGUGGAGGGUCAUUGGAAACUGGGGGACUUGAGUGCAGAAGAGGAAAGUGGAAUUCCAAGUGUAGCGGUGAAAUGCGUAGAGAUUUGGAGGAACACCAGUGGCGAAGGCGACUUUCUGGUCUGUAACUGACGCUGAGGCGCGAAAGCGUGGGGAGCAAACAGGAUUAGAUACCCUGGUAGUCCACGCCGUAAACGAUGAGUGCUAAGUGUUAGGGGGUUUCCGCCCCUUAGUGCUGCAGCUAACGCAUUAAGCACUCCGCCUGGGGAGUACGGUCGCAAGACUGAAACUCAAAUGAAUUGACGGG
rnacentral:rRNA from 1 species